rnacentral:rRNA from 2 species
UACGGAGGGUGCGAGCGUUGUCCGGAUUUAUUGGGUUUAAAGGGUGCGUAGGUGGCUUUUUAAGUCAGUGGUGAAAUACAGCCGCUCAACGGUUGAGGUGCCAUUGAUACUGAAGAGCUUGAAACAAGUGGAGGCUGCCGGAAUGGAUGGUGUAGCGGUGAAAUGCAUAGAUAUCAUCCAGAACACCGAUUGCGAAGGCAGGUGGCUACGUUUGAUUUGACACUGAGGCACGAAAGCAUGGGGAGCAAACAGG